CCAAGCAGACACAGAAAAUGAAUGGAGGCAAGGAGUGUGACGUAGGGGACAAGGAUGGAGGUCUUCCAGCUAUACAAGUUCCUGUGGGUUGGCAGCGUCGAGUGGAUCAAAAUGGAGUGCUUUAUGUCAGUCCCAGUGGGUCUUUGUUAUCUUGCUUGGAGCAGGUUAAAACAUACCUGCUUACUGACGGAACAUGCAAGUGUGGCUUGGAAUGUCCUCUUAUCCUUCCCAAGGUGUUUAAUUUUGAUCCUGGUGCUGCUGUAAAACAAAGAACUGCAGAAGAUGUUAAGGCAGAUGAAGAUGUCACUAAGCUAUGCAUACAUAAGAGAAAGAUCAUUGCAGUGGCCACACUUCAUAAAAGCAUGGAAGCCCCACAUCCUUCUCUGGUGCUCACCAGUCCUGGAGGAGGAACAAAUGCAACUCCAGUAGUACCUUCUCGGGCAGCAACUCCAAGAUUAGUAAGAAAUAAGUCACAUGAAGGAAUUACAAAUUCUGUAAUGCCUGAAUGUAAGCAUCCUUUCAAGUUAAUGAUUGGAUCAUCAAACGCCAUGGGAAGAUUAUAUGUACAAGAACUGCCUGGGAGCCAGCAACAAGAACUUCACCCCGUCUACCCCCGGCAGAGAUUGGGCAGCAGUGAACAUGGACAGAAAUCUCCAUUCCGGGGCAACCAUGGCGGCCUGUCCAGUCCAGCAUCAUCAGGAUCCCAGAUAUAUGGAGAUGGCUCUAUCUCUCCAAGGACUGACCUACUUGGAAGCCCUGAUGUUUUCACAAGAAAUAAUCCCGGGUUUCAUGGCGCUCCCAAUUCUAGCCCUAUUCACCUGAAUAGGACUCCACUUUCUCCACCUUCAGUAAUGCUACAUGGUUCUCCUAUACAGUCAUCCUGUGCAAUGGCUGGAAGGACUAAUAUACCUCUUUCCCCAACCUUGACUACAAAGAGUCCAGUAAUGAAAAAACCAAUGUGUAAUUUUUCAACUAAUAUGGAAAUACCACGAGCAAUGUUCCACCACAAACUACCCCAAGGCCCACCACUCCCUCCUCCACCUUCAUGUGCUCUUCAGAAAAAGCCAUUAACAUCUGAGAAAGGUCCACUUGGCAUUCUUGACCCUAUUCCUAGUAAACCAGUGAAUCAGAACCCUGUUAUCAUUAAUCCAACCAAUUUCCAUUCAAAUGUCCACUCUCAGGUACCUGUGAUGAAUGUAAGCAUGCCUCCUGCUGUUGUUCCUUUGCCAAGUAAUCUCCCCUUGCCAACUGUAAAACCUGGUCACAUGAAUCACGGGAGUCAUGUACAAAGAGUUCAGCAUUCAGCUUCAACCUCCCUGUCCCCUUCUCCAGUGACAUCCCCAGUGCACAUGAUGGGGGCUGGAAUCGGAAGGAUUGAGGCAUCCCUCACGUUCAUCUUCCACGUCAUCAGAUCAUGGAAAUUUCAUGAUGCCACCUGUAGGACCCCAAGCCACUUGUAGUGGUAUUAAGGUUCCACCCAGGUCACCAAGGUCAACAAUAGGGUCCCCAAGACCAUCAAUGUCAUCAAGCCCUUCUACCAAGUCCGAUGGAUAUCAUCAGUACAAGGAUAUCCCAAAUUCAUUGAUUGCUGGAAUGAGUAAUGUACUAAAUACCCCAAGCAGUGCAGCUUUUCCUACUGCAUCUGCCGGAAGUGGUUCUGUAAAGAGUCAGCCUGGUUUGCUGGGAAUGCCUUUAAAUCAGAUCUUGAACCAGCACAAUGCUGCCUCCUUUCCAGCAAGUAGUUUACUCUCAGCAGCAGCCAAAGCACAGCUAGCAAAUCAAAACAAACUUGCUGGUAACAACAGUAGCAGCAGUAGCAAUUCUGGAACUGUUGCCGGCGGUGGCAACACUGACGGACAUAGCACUUUAAACACCAUGUUCCCUCCUACUGCCAACAUGCUUCUCCCAACAGGUGAAGGGCAAAGUGGCCGAGCAGCACUAAGAGAUAAGCUGAUGUCUCAGCAAAAAGACUCGAUGCGGAAAAGAAAACAGCCACCUACCACAGUGUUGAGCUUGCUCAGACAGUCUCAAGUGGAUAGUUCUACAGUUCCUAAACCCGGACCUGACUUGCUAAGGAAGCAGAGUCCAGGUUCCUUUCCCAUCAAUUCAAUGUCUCAGUUACUUCACUUGAGUAGCAAUAGUUCCCCAGCUUGUGGGGGCUCAAAUACUGCUUUGCCUUGCUCUGCUAACCAGCUGCAUUUUACCGAUCUCAAUAUGAACUCCAGUGUUCUUCAGAAUUCACUGACACAGAACAUACCUUUAGGAGGGGAAGCCGUGCACUGCCACAAUGCAAACACUAACUUUGUUCACAGUAACAGUCCAGUCCCAAACCACCAUCUUGCAGGUUUAAUAAAUCAGAUUCAGGCUAGCGGGAACUGUGGGAUGCUCAGUCAGUCGGGCAUGGCUUUAGGAAAUUCAUUACAUCCCAAUCCACCUCAGUCAAGAAUUUCAACGUCCUCCACUCCAGUGAUACCAAACAACAUUGUUAGCAGCUAUAAUCAAACAAGUUCUGAAGCAGGUAUGGUUUUAUUAGAGAAAAGUACCCAAAGGUACUAAACUUUUCUACGUUGUUUUUUUUUUUUAAUUUGUACCAAAAUAUUUAUUAUGAUAAGAGAUGAUUCUGUCCCCAUUGUGAAAAUCUCAUUUCUUUAGUAUUUAUAAUUUUAUUUACAGAACGCUAAAUGUUUGUCUAUUAGAAAGAAUGACAGCGGAGGGUAUUCCAUGUGUUUUCCGUUAUUUGUUGUCAAUCUGUGUCAUUUUGAGUAUUGUUUGGCUUUCAGUUGUUCAUAUAAUCAUUGGACUUUUAAACUGCAGAAGAAGCCAUAGAAGGCAGGGAUGCCUGAUUUAUGAGAUGCGUACAUGGUCUAUGGCAACAUGAGAGCCGUUUCCUUAGGUCUUGUGUGUAUUCAUGUAGGUAAAGCUCCACUUGGAAAACUCAAAAAAGGCAAAACUAAUCAGAUAUUUUCUUUUCUUGCUGCUGGCCAGAAAUAGGUAAAUGGACAGGAAAAGGGUAACUAGAAGCUGUAUGACUUAGAAAGCCAUCUUCUAAUGUUUUUUUAAUCCUAGUUUGCUAUUUUCUUACAAUUUGUUUGAGAACAUUCAAGAAUGGAUAUUGGCUAUUCCCUUUAUAAAAAUAAUAAUAAUUUAUGUUUUCUAAUAAAAAAGGCUUGAA